AAUCCACCUCUGCAUGUGAUCAUCUGCAUUUGACUCCUUGAACUAUGGCAGCCAGCUGGAGCCAUGAAGUAAGCCACCCUAACAUGAGUGGCAGAAACAUGGAGAGGGUUUCACCAUAAUGGCCAGGCUGCUCUCCACCUCCUGGGCUCAAGCGAUCCACCCACCUCAGCCUCCCAAAAUGUUGGGAUUGCAGAUAUGAGCCAUAGUUCCCCUCCAUCAGUCUUAUAGUUAAAUAGACUUCAAAAGAAUGGAAGUGGCUCAGAUCCCUCUCAACUUCUAAGAGACCCUGAUCUCUCAUCCCAUUGGCCCUUCUAAUAGAGCUAUUGGCAUUCACAUCCUAUUUUCAGCCCAAAUGUCAGUUCCUGGAGUACAAAGGCGGUGGCUGCUUCAGAUGCUUCAGACUGAAACUGCUCUUUGCCAUUCUCAUGGACACUGGAGAGUUAAGUUUGGUUAAAUUGAUGCCUUUUUCUUUUAAAAAAGAAAGAAUACACAUAUACCUUUGUGUACACACAAGCUAGGAAACAUCAAUCUAAUACAUGGAUGGCAAGAAAAACCAGAUCUGGCUCAUGCCAGUUACAAUGGUCUGUGAAGAUAAAAAGAUUUCUUCAGAUUUAUUUCUCAGCCAAUUUCUGCUUUUCCUAGGGAGAAAUUAAAAGUUUGUUAAAUA
rnacentral:lncRNA from 10 species